rnacentral:rRNA from 1 species
UACGGAGGGUGCAAGCGUUAUCCGGAUUCACUGGGUUUAAAGGGCGCGUAGGCGGCCACCGCAAGUCGACUGUGAAAUCUCCGGGCUUAACUCGGAAAGGUCAGCCGAUACUGCGGGGCUAGAGUGCAGAAGGGGCAACUGGAAUUCUCGGUGUAGCGGUGAAAUGCGUAGAUAUCGAGAGGAACACCUGCGGCGAAGGCGGGUUGCUGGGCUGACACUGACGCUGAUUGUGCGAAAGCUAGGGGAGCGAACGGG